GGGUCUGUAGCUCAAUAGGUAGAGCAGGGGACUCAUAAUCCCUUGGAUGCGGGUUCGACUCCCGCCGGACCCA
rnacentral:tRNA from 1 species